UACGUAGGGUGCGAGCGUUGUCCGGAAUUAUUGGGCGUAAAGAGCUCGUAGGCGGUGUGUCGCGUCGGCCGUGAAAACCUGGGGCUCAACUCUGGGCGUGCGGUCGAUACGGGCAUCACUUGAGUUCGGCAGGGGAGACUGGAAUUCCUGGUGGUAGCGGUGAAAUGCGCAGAUAUCGGGAGGAACACCAAUGGCGAAGGCAGCUCGCUGGGACGGUA
rnacentral:rRNA from 1 species